GCCUCUUCUCUGCUAAGAUAAAGUGUAGUAUCUGUUAUUACCAGUUUAAUAUCUGAUAGGCUUCCCCUGCUCUUUGCUCCAUAUUAUAUGGAUUUUUAGGAAUGGAAAUAGGAGCUGAGUCCUCUGGGGCUUGCUUUGCUCAGACGACAUCGCCCCAUUACUGCAGCGCAUUCGGGAGUGGUGCACCUCUC